UAAGCAGUCACUUAAAACACAUGUAAUGCAUGAUAAUAGGGAGAUAAACAUGUGAGCAAAUAUUAAAUAUUUAACAGUAAUUUACUACUGUGGUCUCAAAAUAAUUAAUUAUUGGAUGAUAUAAAUGUCAAAGUGUUUUCUGAAUUAUUAGAUGUUUAGAUAAUUUUUUUUUAAAGUCAAUAUUGACUCACUGUUCCGGUUACUUUAAGACAAUGUAGUCACUUGCAGUCUACAAUCGCGUUCUCCUUGAUUUCUUAUUUAAAAUAUCACUUAGACAAUAAAUGGAAUAGAAUGAAUGUGUCUUAAGACCAACCCAAAGAAGUCAAUGGUAAAACGCAUGCAAUGAGGCACAAAAAACCAAAGCGGGCAUUCAAUAAAAUAAAAUACCAUAUGCCAAUAAGAAGGUGCUACCGAUGGACUGUCUACAUCUUGUAUGAUAACAGAAGGAAUUGCCUGAAUUCCUAUGGUGUUUGAAACAGCGGCAUACAUCAGCAAAGAAAAUGAAAACAGUGCUUCAGAGAGUAGAUAGAUGAUGACUUUCAAAUAGUAACUGUGCAACUUACGGCGCCUACAUAAAACUGUGCGGGCCUGUAUGUAGCUUGUCGGAGACCCUGAUAUCCAUGUUCCAGUUCAGUAUAAGACAUGACACCAUUGGAACAUACUAGAACUGUUAAAUUGCUUUUGUUAAGUUGCCUUUUGUCUGUAAAAAAGAGAACAUUUUUGGCAAAUAUUGAUUUGGGUGAAACGUUAAGACUUGCCUUGGCAAAAUCACUAGUAGAAAAUAAAGAGUUGGUGCUCUGUAUAACUAAAUAA